rnacentral:rRNA from 1 species
AACGAACGCUGGCGGCAUGCCUAACACAUGCAAGUCGAACGCUCACAAGAGAGUGGCGCACGGGUGAGUAACACGUGGGAACGUACCCUUCAGUUCGGAAUAACGCCUGGAAACGGGCGCUAAUACCGGAUACGCCCCUAGGGGGAAAGAUUUAUCGCUGAAGGAGCGGCCCGCGUCUGAUUAGCUAGUUGGUGGGGUAAUGGCCUACCAAGGCGACGAUCAGUAGCUGGUCUGAGAGGAUGAUCAGCCACACUGGGACUGAGACACGGCCCAGACUCCUACGGGAGGCAGCAGUGGGGAAUAUUGGACAAUGGGCGGAAGCCUGAUCCAGCCAUGCCGCGUGAGUGAUGAAGGCCUUCGGGUUGUAAAGCUCUUUCGCACGCGACGAUGAUGACGGUAGCGUGAGAAGAAGCCCCGGCUAACUUCGUGCCAGCCGCCGCAGUAA